rnacentral:rRNA from 1 species
CCUACGGGGUGCUGCAGUGGGGGAUAUUGCACAAUGGGGGAAACCCUGAUGCAGCGAUGCCGCGUGAAUGAAGACGGCCUUCGGUAUGUAAAGCUCUAUCAGCAGGGGAGAAAAUGACGGUACCUGACUAAGAAGCCCCGGCUAACUACGUGCCAGCAGCCGCGGUAAUACGUAGGGGGCAAGCGUUAUCCGGAUUUACUGGGUGUAAAGGGAGCGUAGACGGCCAGACAAGUCAGAAGUGAAAGCCCAGGGCUCAACCCUGGGACUGCUUUUGAAACUGCCGGGCUGGAGUGCAGGAGAGGUAAGCGGAAUGCCUAGGGUAGCGGUGAAAUGCGUAGAUAUUAGGAGGAACACCAGUGGCGAAGGCGGCUUACUGGACUGUAACUGACGUUGAGGCUCGAAAGCGUGGGGAGCAAACAGGAUUAGAUACCCGAGUAGUC